UAGCUCAGGUGGUAAAGUGCUUGCCUUGCAUGCAUGAAGUCCUGGGUUCAACUCCCAG
rnacentral:tRNA from 1 species